CCAAUAGACUGCAUAGAACGAUGAAGACAAUGUGAUGUCAACCUCAUGUCACUACUGUUUAAGCCUAUAGUUUAGCACCUUUGCCCUCUCCUUCUUGAUGUUAUGGUACCUAAAGUGACCAUGUCUAUACAACAUGGAGGAAAGCAUUACCUGCUAAAUCAGCUGUUUCACUCUGAACGGGGCCGUCGUUUUCAAAGUGAACAACAUUCUGGAUUAAAGAAGAGUUCAAACUCAAAUGGUCCAAUGUUGCAUCUCUAUACAUUCAUUCUAAUUAUUGCAAACAGCUGAAUCGCCCCCUAC